CUGCUGUGAUGAACCGCUGUUAGUGCCAUCGUGUCUGGGCCACUGAUUCUCCAUGAUGGAACUGAGGAUCUGAGCAG
rnacentral:snoRNA from 1 species